AGCCAUCCCUGCUGGCACCCAGGGCUGCAGAGGAGCAGUGUCUUCAGACUGUCCUUGGACCUGUUAAAACAUGUGACUUAAACAGGACUCGUUGUAUGUGCUUGCCUUUGGGGGUGAGGAUUUGGGAGGGUGGAGGAACAGAGGGACAUGGACUGAGUUAUGUCUUUCUACAUCCACUGGACCAUUCUUAGAGAAUACGCCGUGGAAGCGCGAGAGGAGAGAGUGGUGGAAAGAGCCAUCAGUGCAUCCAGCAGGGGCUUGCAGCAGGAGGAGAUGUACCCACAGGUGGCUCUUGAGAGGUCCAAGGGCAGUGUCAUCCCCUCCCAUGCCCCUGCCAACCACCAUCCCCAUACAUAAGCCCAGAGGCUUUUGGACUGGAGGUUUGGGGUCUUUUUGUUUGUUUUCCACUACUUUUCCAUUCCAAGACCAUGUAAACAGGUAUAAAUAUUUCAAACACUUUCA